UACGUAGGGGGCAAGCGUUGUCCGGAUUUAUUGGGCGUAAAGAGCGUGUAGGCGGCCAAACAGGUCAGCUGUGAAAACUCGAGGCUCAACCUCGAGACGUCGGUUGAAACCGUUUGGCUAGAGUCCGGAAGAGGAGAGUGGAAUUCCCGGUGUAGCGGUGAAAUGCGCAGAUAUCGGGAAGAACACCCGUGGCGAAGGCGGCUCUCUGGGACGGUACUGGACGCUGAGACGGCGGAAAGCGUGGGGAGCGAACAGGA
rnacentral:rRNA from 1 species